AUACGUAGGGAGCGAGCGUUGUCCGGAAUUACUGGGCGUAAAGAGCUCGUAGGUGGUUUGUCGCGUCGCCUGUGAAAUUCCGGGGCUUAACUCCGGGCGUGCAGGCGAUACGGGCAUAACUUGAGUACUGUAGGGGAGACUGGAAUUCCUGGUGUAGCGGUGAAAUGCGCAGAUAUCAGGAGGAACACCGGUGGCGAAGGCGGGUCUCUGGGCAGUAACUGACGCUGAGGAGCGAAAGCAUGGGUAGUGAACAGGAUUAGAUACCCUGGUAGUCCAUGCCGUAAACGGUGGGCGCUAGGUGUAGGGGUCUUCCACGACUUCUGUGCCGUAGCUAACGCAUUAAGCGCCCCGCCUGGGGAGUACGGCCGCAAGGCUAAAACUUAAAGGAAUUGACGGGG
rnacentral:rRNA from 1 species